ensembl:lncRNA
GUGAUAGUUUGCCAUCCUGGGACUUAACUUAAAAGAAAAGACUGUAAAGAAACAGAGAAGAAGACAACAGCUGAGUUGAGACUGUGUUUGCUGGAGCUUUGAAGCACGAACAGGACACUGUGAAUGAAAAAGAGACCGGUGAGAGAUGAAGCUGGACGAGUUUAAUUGCGAGAAUACAGGAUAUGUUUGGACUGAAAAUUGAAACCUGAACUCAUGACUGUUUUAGGGAUGUCCACCACAGCAUAACAAAGAGGUAAACAUUAGAAAAGGUGAGAAUAAUGAAAGAAAUAAUUGUCAUUACCUUAAUGAAUAGAAAACACACAUACAAAUUGUUACAUGUGAGAUAUUUUUGAAAUGAAUCAGAAGUGAGAUAGUUUGAAUCUAAAGCUCAGUGGUGAAAUGCAUAAAUUAAAUAUGAAUAUAUAGGAUGCAAUGAAGAAACAGCUUACACGUAGUGUACAUUAACAUGAAUACAUCGCAAGGCAACGAAGAACUCAAUGAAUUAAUUUAAUGAAGAAGUAGUAUACACCCAAUUAACAUAAAAUGCAGGGAAGAACACGCUUACAUGCAUGGCAUAAUUGGUGUUUCUGACCAGAGACAGAGAAAUGGGUUAUUUAACCACUGGUGAUAAUAAUGAAAAUGUCUUAGUUUUGUUAUUUUCAGGAGUAAAGCAGACUUGGACCGGCUCUCCACAGCAGCAGUCGGAAGAAAGUUAGAGGUUAACAUCUAUGGAUAAGUUAAGGCAAGUUUCUGGUUGAAUUGUUCACAGCAUGAUGUGUCCAGGAACCUGAAAAGCAAG